rnacentral:rRNA from 1 species
GAAUUACUGGGCGUAAAGCGCACGUAGGCGGAUCAGAAAGUAUAGGGUGAAAUCCCAGGGCUCAACCCUGGAACUGCCUUAUAAACUCCUGGUCUUGAGUUCGAGAGAGGUAAGUGGAAUUCCGAGUGUAGAGGUGAAAUUCGUAGAUAUUCGGAGGAACACCAGUGGCGAAGGCGGCUUACUGGCUCGAUACUGACGCUGAGGUGCGAAAGUGUGGGGAGCAAACAGGAUUAGAUACCCUGGUAGU